GACGUAGGGCGCAAGCGUUGUCCGGAUUUAUUGGGCGUAAAGAGCUCGUAGGCGGCUUGUCGCGUCGACUGUGAAAAACCACGACUCAACCGUGGGACUGCAGUCGAUACGGGCAGGCUAGAGUUCGGCAGGGGAGACUGGAAUUCCUGGUGUAGCGGUGAAAUGCGCAGAUAUCAGGAGGAACACCGGUGGCGAAGGCGGGUCUCUGGGCCGAAACUGACGCUGAGGAGCGAAAGCGUGGGGAGCGAACAGG
rnacentral:rRNA from 1 species